CGUUUGACGUUAGCGACAGAAGAAAGCACCGGCUAACUCCGUGCCAGCAGCCGCGGUAAUACGGAGGGUGCGAGCGUUAAUCGGAAUUACUGGGCGUAAAGCGCAUGCAGGUGGUUUGUUAAGUCAGAUGUGAAAGACCCGGGGCGUCAACCUCGGAAUAGCAUUUGAAACUAGGCAGACUAGAGUACUGUAGAGGGGGGUAGGAAUUUCAGGUGUAGCGGUGAAAUGCGUAGAGAUCUGAAGGAAUACCGGUGGCGAAGGCGGCCCCCUCGGACAGAUACUGACACUCAGAUGCGAAAGCGUGGGGAGCAAACAGGAUUAGAUACCCUGGUAG
rnacentral:rRNA from 1 species